rnacentral:rRNA from 1 species
GACAGAGGGUGCGAACGUUGCUCGGAAUUACUGGGCGUAAAGCGCGUGUAGGCGGACCAACAAGUCAGGCGUGAAAUCCCUGGGCUCAACCCAGGAACUGCACCUGAAACUGUCGGUCUUGAGUGGUGGAGAGGGAAGCAGAAUUCCUGGUGUAGAGGUGAAAUUCGUAGAUAUCAGGAGGAACACCGGUGGCGAAGGCGGCUUCCUGGACACUAACUGACGCUGAGACGCGAAAGCGUGGGGAGCAAACAGG